GUCUUAAAAGCUGAGUGGUGAGAGCAUCUGCUUUGCAUGCAGAAAGUACCAGGUUCAAUCCCUGGUAUCUCCAAGUAGGGCU